UUUGUCUCUGCUAAUACACAUUGCUCUCUGAAACUAGGAAAUCUGUCAAAUGGUACUCUUGGCAUCUGACUUCCUAUAAUCAUUUUUGUGGCAUCCCCAGAUCUUCAAAACUGAAUCUUCACAGAGUGAAUGCCAAAAGACAGCAAGCAACAGAUUCCAUUGAGGUUACCACAACUGACAGAAUGAACGAAAAACGUGACCUUAAAAGGAAGAUAAGUGGAACAGGUGAUCCUAC
rnacentral:lncRNA from 1 species